rnacentral:tmRNA from 1 species
GGGGAUGAUAGGCAUCGACGGGAAAGUACUUUGACACGUUGCAAGCCGAGGAUGACUAAGCACUCGUUAAAUCAUAGUCAAAAAUAUAAAAGGCACGGAUUAUUCCGCAGCCCGAGUCACAACUUACGCAUACGCGUACGCUUAAACUCGCAUCCACACUUAGUGCGUCUGGUUGCUCAAGUGCUGGGUGUCAACUUUUACCAGAACGCAACCGGUUAUCUGAUCAGUACCGGCCAAGAUUUGAUCUUUGCAGGGAAACCAACUUUGGUUUGCUAAAGGGUUUCUUGCGAGAAAAAAUAGCAAAAUAAGCUUGUAGAUACGUUUAAAGAUCUUGCUCGGAUGAGGGUUCAAUUCCCUCCAUCUCCACAC